rnacentral:rRNA from 1 species
UACGUAGGGCGCAAGCGUUGUCCGGAAUUAUUGGGCGUAAAGAGCGUGUAGGCGGCCUGGAAGGUCAGCUGUGAAAACUCGAGGCUCAACCUCGAGACGUCGGUUGAAACCACCUGGCUAGAGUCCGGAAGAGGAGAGUGGAAUUCCCGGUGUAGCGGUGAAAUGCGCAGAUAUCGGGAGGAACACCAAUGGCGAAGGCAGCUUGCUGGGACGGUACUGACGCUGAGGCGCGAAAGCGUGGGGAGCAAACAGG